GCCCGGGUGGUGGAAUUGGCAGACACGGGGGGCUUAAACCCUCCUAUACGAACGUAUGUACGGGUUCGAAUCCCGUCCCGGGCA
rnacentral:tRNA from 1 species